AUGCAAUUGCCUGUACCUAGUGUUCCUUGGGAGGAUAUAUCUAUGGACUUUGUUUUAGGUUUACCUCGAACAAAGAAGGGGAGGGAUAGCAUAUUUGUUGUCGUGGAUAGGUUCUCGAAAAUGGCACACUUUAUACCAUGUCAUAAAAGCGAUGAUGCUGUUAAUGUUGCUGAUUUGUUCUUUCGUGAAAUUAUUCGCUUACAUGGUGUGCCAAAUAAUAUUGUUUCAGAUCGUGAUACUAAAUUUCUCAGCCACAUUUGGAGAUGUUUAUGGGCUAAGUUGAGGACUAAGCUGCUUUUUAGUACUACUUGUCACCCCCAAACUGAUGGACAAACUGAAGUAGUGAAUAGAACAUUGUCUACUAUGGUUAGGGCUGUUUUGAAGAAUAACAAGAAAAUGUGGGAAGAAUGCUUGCCUCAUAUUGAAUUUGCUUAUAAUCGUUCAUUGCAUUCUACUACUAAGAUGUGCCCUUUUGAAAUUGUGUAUGGUUUCCUACCUCGUGCACCUAUUGAUUUGUUGCCUCUUCCAUCUUCAGAGAAGGUUAAUUUUGAUGCUAAAGAACAUUCUGAAUUGAUUUUAAAAAUGCAUGAGUUAACUAAGGAAAACAUUGAGUGUAUGAAUGCUAAAUAUAAACUUGCUGGAGAUAAGGGUAGAAAACAUGUUGUGUUUGCGCCUGGAGAUCUUGUUUGGUUACAUUUGCGUAAAGAUAGAUUUCCUAAUCUGCGCAAAUCAAAGCUAAUGCCACAUGCUGAUGGUCCUUUUAAGGUGUUAGAGAAAAUAAAUGAUAAUGCAUAUAAACUUGAGCUACCUAUAGAUUUUGGGGUUAGUCCCACUUUUAACAUUGUAGAUUUGAAGCCUUAUUUGGGUGAGGAAGAUGCGCUUCCGUCGAGGACGACUUCAUUUCAAGAAGGGGAGGAUGAUGAGGACAUCAAUACCAUUGUUACACCCACAUCCCCUACUGUUACAUAUACUGGACCAAUUACUAGAGCUCGCGCACGCCAAUUAAAUUACCAGGUACUUUCGUUUCUUAGUAAUGAUUCUAAUGUUCAUGAGAUUAUGAUGCUGCCUAAAUUGGAUACAUUUGUUUUGCUUACAAAUGAAGGGCCUAGCUUGGAGAAGGAUGAACAUUGGAGCAAGAACACGCAUGGAGUUGAUGGCAUGUGCAAGGGGAUCAAGAACGGAGUUACAAGUGAUGAUUUCAGGACUUUGAAGCCGCCAUAA
rnacentral:rRNA from 1 species